UAUACAUUUGAUAAUCUCAUCAUCCAUGGCGAUUCAAGAAGAACAGUUUAGUCAUCGUCACCUAUGAUUUACCACUACAAAUAUCUAAGUGAUCAGAGAAGAAAUUUAACUGCACAUUGAGGAUGAUUGAUAUCUGUAUUCAGAGUACACCAUGAUUAUUUUAUUUUGGGCUAUGUCACUUUGCCAGAAAGUGAUUGACAGAUAGAGAAAUGUGUAUUACAAAUGUGAAUGGAUGAAAGUUGUCUGUAUUUGAAACAGUCCAAUAAUAAAGUGUAUCAUUAUUGUUUUA